rnacentral:rRNA from 1 species
GAUGAACGCUGGCGGCGUGCCUAAUACAUGCAAGUCGAGCGAACAGACGAGGAGCUUGCUCCUCUGACGUUAGCGGCGGACGGGUGAGUAACACGUGGAUAACCUACCUAUAAGACUGGGAUAACUUCGGGAAACCGGAGCUAAUACCGGAUAAUAUAUUGAACCGCAUGGUUCAAUAGUGAAAGACGGUUUUGCUGUCACUUAUAGAUGGAUCCGCGCCGCAUUAGCUAGUUGGUAAGGUAACGGCUUACCAAGGCAACGAUGCGUAGCCGACCUGAGAGGGUGAUCGGCCACACUGGAACUGAGACACGGUCCAGACUCCUACGGGAGGCAGCAGUAGGGAAUCUUCCGCAAAGGGCGAAAGCUUGACGGAGCAACGCCGCGUGAGUGAAGAAGGUCUUCGGAUCGUAAAACUCUGUUAUUAGGGAAGAACAAAUGUGUAAGUAACUAUGCACGUCUUGACGGUACCUAAUCAGAAAGCCACGGCUAACUACGUG